AUUGUCUCCUAAAGGAUAGGAAUCUAAAGCCUGGAGACGUCAUUGAAAUCUUCAGAGAUGGAUAUCAGCACUGGGUGAUCUAUGUUUGAGAUGGAUAUGUGAUUCACGUGGUCACAGCCUCUGGACACGGCGACUCUGGGUCCAGCAGUAAGCCAAGGAAAGAUAACAAGGU